CCCCAUAUGCCGAGAGGUGAAAUGAAUUUCGCCUGAGGAUGAGCUCGCGUCUGAUUAGCUAGUUGGUGAGGUAAUGGCUCACCAAGGCUUCGAUCAGUAGCUGGUCUGAGAGGAUGAUCAGCCACACUGGGACUGAGACACGGCCCAGACUCCUACGGGAGGCAGCAGUGGGGAAUUUUCCGCAAUGGGCGAAAGCCUGACGGAGCAACGCCGCGUGAGGGAUGAAGGCCUCUGGGCUGUAAACCUCUUUUAUCAAGGAAGAAGAUCUGACGGUACUUGAUGAAUAAGCCACGGCUAAUUCCGUGCCAGCAGCCGCGGUAAUACGGGAGUGGCAAGCGUUAUCCGGAAUUAUUGGGCGUAAAGCGUCCGCAGGCGGUUUUGAAAGUCUGUUGUUAAAGCGUGGAGCUUAACUCCAUUUCAGCAAUGGAAACUACAAGACUAGAGUGUGGUAGGGGCAGAGGGAAUUCCCGGUGUAGCGGUGAAAUGCGUAGAUAUCGGGAAGAACACCAGUGGCGAAGGCGCUCUGCUGGGCCAUAACUGACGCUCAUGGACGAAAGCCAGGGGAGCGAAAGGGAUUAGAUACCCCUGUAGUCCUGGCCGUAAACGAUGAACACUAGGUGUCGGGGGGAAUCGACCCCCCUCGGUGUCGUAGCCAACGCGUUAAGUGUUCCGCCCUGGGGAGUACGCACGCAAGUGUGAAACUCAAAGGAAUUGACGGGGGCCCGCACAAGCGGUGGAGUAUGUGGUUUAAUUCGAUGCAACGCGAAGAACCUUACCAGGGUUUGACAUCCUGCGAAUCCCUUGGAAACUUGGGAGUGCCUUCGGGAGCGCAGUGACAGGUGGUGCAUGGCUGUCGUCAGCUCGUGUCGUGAGAUGUUGGGUUAAGUCCCGCAACGAGCGCAACCCACGUCUUUAGUUGCCAGCAUUUAGUUGGGCACUCUAGAGAGACUGCCGGUGAUAAACCGGAGGAAGGUGUGGAUGACGUCAAGUCAUCAUGCCCCUUACAUCCUGGGCUACACACGUACUACAAUGCUACGGACAAAGGGCAGCAAACUCGCGAGAGCUAGCAAAUCCCAUAAACCGUGGCUCAGUUCAGAUCGUAGGCUGCAACUCGCCUACGUGAAGGAGGAAUCGCUAGUAAUCGCAGGUCAGCAUACUGCGGUGAAUACGUUCCCGGGCCUUGUACACACCGCCCGUCACACCAUGGAAGUUAGCCACGCCCGAAGUCGUUACUCCAACCCCUUGUGGGAGGAGGACGCCGAAGGUGGGGCUGAUGACUGGGGUGAAGUCGUAACAAGGUAGCCGUACCGGAAGGUGC
rnacentral:rRNA from 1 species